CACGAAUAUAAUUGAAAAAAGAUUAAAAAAGACUACAUGGUAGUGGUAGUGUCCACUACGAAACGUUUUUCUCCCAUAAUUGUUUCGUAGGGGACCGUUUCGUAAGGGACGUAUUCGCAUGCUUUAUUUUUUUCCCACAAUCCCUAUAUUGCAGUAGUAACAAGACUGAUUGUAUUCAUCAAAGCAUUUAUCAAGCUGUACACUGAUAUUUUUUUCAUAAUUUUAAAACCAGAU
rnacentral:lncRNA from 1 species